CAAUAGCGUAUAUUAAAGUUGUUGCAGUUAAAAAGCUCGUAGUUGGAUUUCUGGUAGGAGUGACCGUUCCGAACUUGAUUGUUCGUGUAUUGUGUUUUCUCCAGCCAUCCUUGUGGAGAACUUUUCUUGCAUUAAUUUGUAGGGAUUGGGACCCGCAUCGUUUACUGUGAAAAAAUUAGAGUGUUUAAAGCAGGCAAUCGCUUGAAUACAUUAGCAUGGAAUAAUAAGAUAGGACUUUGGUACUAUUUUGUUGGUUUGCAUACCAAAUUAAUGAUCAACAGGAACAGUUUGAGGAUAUUCGUAUGAACAUGUCAGAGGUGAAAUUCUUGGAUUUUGAUCAGACGAACUACUGCGAAAGCAUUUAUCAAGGAUGCUUUCAUUAA
rnacentral:rRNA from 1 species